ACAGGCAACAAGCUGUGUCAUAAGAAUGUCAUGAAUUACUCAUCUCAUCUUUAUCACGUUGCCAGUCUUAUACUGGAUUGUACUUGUGAGAGUUUGGAGUGUCUUGCAGCAGUUGAUCUUGCUUGUUCUCUUAGCAUUCAUCUGCACAACAUCACUGUUGGGGAAUCUCUUUGUAUGCUUCGUUUGUCAUUAGCUAGAAGAGCUGGAGACAAGGAACGUCUUAUUCAAGCUUUUGUAGAUGCUGGUAGAGUCUGUGCAUUGCAACAUAAAAGAAGUGCAUCUCAUUCUCUUUGCUUGUUUGCUCUUCAAAUUAUGUCAGACGAUUCAUCAGCCGAAGCAAGAGAACAGCAGGCUUUUUGGAUGCUUGACUUUACUGGUGCUUACUAUGAUCUUGAUUGCUGCGAUGAUGUGGAGGUGUUGGUUACAGCAACACAAAAAUUUGCUUAAAGCUGCUAAGAGUGCAGACAGCUUGUUUUUACUUGCACAAUGUUUUCAUUAUUUGGCUAACUGUUGUGAUAUCAAAGGAAGGUAUGAAGACGCUGAGGUUGCUUCGAAAGAAGCUUUGCGGCACUACAAACAAAGUGUGUCUUAGUAUCAUUCUGCCGUUGGUCGAGAGUUGGCCAAUUUGGGACUUUAUUGUACCAAACAGAAAAAAUUGAAAGAUGCAGAGGGAUUUCUCUUAAAGGCACUUGAAAAUAAUAAGAAAAGUUUGCCUCCACAUCAUGUUACUACUGUUUCAAGUCUUCGCAAGAUGGGUUACCUGUACAACUGUCUGGAACAGUUCGAAAAAUCAGAAAGUUGUCUGACUAAAGCCUUAGACAUACUUCAAUCACGAUAUUUGACUCAAAGUGCUGAAGCACGAUUUGUUUACUACAACAUUGGUUUAAGACUGGGGUAAUGAAAGGAAAUAUGAAGAGGCUAAAAAGCCAUUGUUUGCAGCGCUGGAAAUUCUAGAGUCAGCAUUAGGAGAGCAUCAUCUCUACGCUGCAUGGACUCUUUGUUACCUCUCAUAUUGUCAUCAUUGCCCUGACCACUGUGUGGAAGCCCGUUCUUUAAUGCAAAAAGCUGUCGACAUUGUGAGGAAGAAGUAUGGUGAAAGCCAUAGUGCUACACAGACAAUGGUGAAGGCUCUAGAGACACUGAACGCUUCAGGAGAGGGAAGAUGGGAAUUCUAUCUUUUCUGAGUUAAUAUCUACCACGAAUCUGGAGUCUACGCUCAUGUUAGCUUCAAGUCUUGGAGACUUCUAGAGCCAAAGCCAAAGUGUUCUAGAGCCAAGUUUGAUUAUGUUUCCAUGAUAACAACAGCCCUAUUAACCCUAUAAUGUAAUGUGUUGUUUGAUACAUCCGGGGUAUACUGGCAUACCAGUUUACUGUGACUACUGAGAAUUAAUCAUUUAUUAGUUACUUUCAAAACUUUUACUUGUUUAUAAGCAAUGAAAGGUAUGUUGCAUUAUUUGUUCCUGUAGGGUGCUUCCAUGAG